rnacentral:rRNA from 1 species
CGGUACAUCGGUGACAGGUGGUGCAUGGUUGUCGUCAGCUCGUGUCGUGAGAUGUUGGUUAAGUCCCGCAACGAGCGCAACCCCUAUUGUUAGUUGCCAUCAUUCAGUUGGGGCACUCUAGCGAGACUGCCGGUAAUAAACCGGAGGAAGGUGGGGAUGACGUCAAAUCAUCAUGCCCCUUAUGACCUGGGCUACACACGUGCUACAAUGGUUGGUACAACGAGUUGCGAGUCGGUGACGGCGAGCUAAUCUCUUAAAGCCAAUCUCAGUUCGGAUUGUAGGCUGCAACUCGCCUACAUGAAGUCGGAAUCGCUAGUAAUCGCGGAUCAGCACGCCGCGGUGAAUACGUUCCCGGGCCUU